AGUUUUUCGAUAAUAUAUUUUAAACAAUAAAAAGACCCGUUAACUGUUUUUCUCUUUUCAGUUGUACGACGAUUUCGUCGAAAUCAGAAGAUUUUCCUCUCUUCGCUUCAAAAUUGAAACCAAACUGAAGAUUCUAGACUUUAUGAAGCGGUUCGGAAAGACCCCGAUUGGCAUUUCUGUCGGAGGAUUCUUCUUCAUCAAGAAAAAUUUUGUCAUUAGAGUGAGUCCCACUUUGUUAUCUUUCACUCUACACGUUUGACUCCUGCAGAAAUACUAGAAAGUCCCCUCGAGCAUUUAUGAAGGCUAUAAGUGCACUUCAUUCCAUUUUGUCGACGUUAGCGAAGUUAGGAAAGGAGAAAGCGAACGAAUGCAACUCCCACCAAAGACUUAACCGGAACGUAUCGGACUCCUUCAAUAUUUUUGCAAUUUUUGAUAAUUAAUUAAUUAAGACGAUGGUUUAGUUGUUGUCGUCAAUAAUUUUUCAGUAUUAUAUACCCGUAUAAUGUGUUAAAUGUAUUAUUCGUCGUGUCUACCGUAACUGAAAUAUUCACACCAAUAACUGUACUUUGCAACAAUUAAACAUUCGUGGUAUAAAAUCUUGUAUAUAAAAGUACACUAUAAAUGUUACGUAUCGUGUAAGAAAAGCUACGAAACUUAAUUGAAACUAAAUGAAUGGAUUAGAUUCAAAAAGUUGUUACCAGGUUUACACAGAAAUAAUGAGAAUGACU